rnacentral:rRNA from 1 species
UACGUAGGGGGCAAGCGUUGUCCGGAUUUAUUGGGCGUAAAGAGCGUGUAGGCGGCCAGAUAGGUCCGUUGUGAAAACUGGAGGCUUAACCUCCAGCUGUCGAUGGAAACCAUCUGGCUAGAGUCCGGAAGAGGAGAGUGGAAUUCCUGGUGUAGCGGUGAAAUGCGCAGAUAUCAGGAAGAACACUCGUGGCGAAGGCGGCUCUCUGGGACGGUACUGACGCUGAGACGCGAAAGCGUGGGGAGCGAACAGG